UCUCUCACGAUUGACUUGGAACUGGAUGAAACUUUUCAGGAUGAAGAGCAAAACAUCUUCAAGGAAAUAAACAAGUCCAGUUAACCUGACUCAGCAUACUUGGACACU